rnacentral:miRNA from 1 species
CUCCCACAUGCAAGGUUUGCA